rnacentral:sRNA from 1 species
UUCUUCUGCUCCUCCUGACCGCCCCCCACAAGAUGGAGAGGACGCAAACUCAACCUUGGGUCCAGGUCAAAUUCCUCCAAAACUUUCUACUGAAAAGAUAGUUUGGGGUAAUAUCAAGUUAGGCUUUAUGGUGUCCAAAGGUCAGCUAGAAGUGGACAUUAUCUGUGCAGUUGGACUGAAUAAAUCAGGUUCAUCACAACCACCAGAUACUUAUGUGAAAACAUACUUAGUUGAAGGUAAGAAAGUCAUUCAAAGAAAGAAAACUUUGGUAGUGAAGGGCUCCUUUGAUCCUGUGUACCGGAAGAAGGUCAAGUACUCAGCUUGCAAUGUCCAUGGAAGGAUUAUG